ACGGGUGAGUAACACGUGAGUAACCUGCCCUUGACUCUGGGAUAAGCCUGGGAAACUGGGUCUAAUACCGGAUAUGACCAUCUGGCGCAUGUCAUGGUGGUGGAAAGCUUUUGUGGUUUUGGAUGGACUCGCGGCCUAUCAGCUUGUUGGUGGGGUAAUGGCCUACCAAGGCGACGACGGGUAGCCGGCCUGAGAGGGUGACCGGCCACACUGGGACUGAGACACGGCCCAGACUCCUACGGGAGGCAGCAGUGGGGAAUAUUGCACAAUGGGCGCAAGCCUGAUGCAGCGACGCCGCGUGAGGGAUGACGGCCUUCGGGUUGUAAACCUCUUUCAGUAGGGAAGAAGCCGUAAGGUGACGGUACCUGCAGAAGAAGCGCCGGCUAACUACGUGCCAGCAGCCGCGGUAAUACGUAGGGCGCAAGCGUUAUCCGGAAUUAUUGGGCGUAAAGAGCUCGUAGGCGGUUUGUCGCGUCUGCUGUGAAAGACCGGGGCUCAACUCCGGUUCUGCAGUGGGUACGGGCAGACUAGAGUGCAGUAGGGGAGACUGGAAUUCCUGGUGUAGCGGUGAAAUGCGCAGA
rnacentral:rRNA from 1 species